GCGGGGUCAAAUCAACGUAAGGUUGAGCAAAGCCCCGCAUGUUCGGGGCUUUUUGCUAUCUGUCGUCUACGAAGGCGCACCGCGCUUUUGUAAGGGUAUCGACUAUGCUUUUGCGCGUAGUCGGGCUGUGAUACUGGGCGCUUCGCCCUUUUUUU
rfam:Gallaecimonas xiamenensis 3-C-1 contig11, whole genome shotgun sequence.